AUUGAACGCUGGCGGCAUGCCUUACACAUGCAAGUCGAACGGCAGCACGGGUGCUUGCCCCUGGUGGCGAGUGGCGAACGGGUGAGUAAUACAUCGGAACAUGUCCUGUAGCGGGGGAUAGCCCGGCGAAAGCCGGAUUAAUACCGCAUACGAUCUACGGAUGAAAGCGGGGGACCUUCGGGCCUCGCGCUAUAGGGUUGGCCGAUAGCUGAUUAGCUAGUUGGUGGGGUAAAGGCCUACCAAGGCGACGAUCAGUAGCUGGUCUGAGAGGACGACCAGCCACACUGGGACUGAGACACGGCCCAGACUCCUACGGGAGGCAGCAGUGGGGAAUUUUGGACAAUGGGCGAAAGCCUGAUCCAGCAAUGCCGCGUGUGUGAAGAAGGCCUUCGGGUUGUAAAGCACUUUUGUCCGGAAAGAAAUCCUUGGCUCUAAUACAGUCGGGGGAUGACGGUACCGGAAGAAUAAGCACCGGCUAACUACGUG
rnacentral:rRNA from 1 species